CGCACAGAUUAAUGCAAUCAAUGUCGUUAUCCAGUUACUGUUUAGAAAUUUGUCUCAGUGGUCUGAGAAAAACCACGAGAACACACCCCACAUUUAACGUUUUCAUUCAUUUAAUUCUGAUGCAGUUUUCGCAUCGUUCUUUACAACACGGAUACGAGUGCACAGUUUAUUUUUAAACUUGAUUUCCGAGCAAUCUGUUUUUGUUGUUUCAUUUACUACAACAGAACUGCACCGCCUAUGAACAGAUUCAAGAAGACGUAAUCGAUUGGUGUAUCUCUGUGACGCGCUUGGAAAUAACAAAUUGCGAUUGGUAGGAGUGACAUCUAUCGGAGAGGAGACAUAUUACCUUGACCUUGACAGCCCUUCGGUUAGUUCUUCGUCUGGAGGGAGUCAGCAUGUAGCCUACUGUGUGUUGGUCCUAUUUAAUAUUGCGUGUAUUUUAAGGGAGGAAUGCAAUAUCGUACACGGCGGAUUGGUCCACAUGCAAUUUGUCUAAAUGUUAAAUGCAGUAAAAAUUGGCCAGUUUGUCCAAACGUUGAGAAGAGGAACACAUACACACGUACACGAAGCACGUUGAUCUCACAAGCCUCUAUUUUCUCUUUAGUUAAGCAGGAAAUGAGCUCUAAAAUGUAAAAUAAAAAACCAGACAGGAGGCUACAAGCUAAAUAUACUUCAUACGGAAUUUUAAAUUCGUGUGUUAUUUAUGUGAGUGAUGGAAUUCUGUGCGUGAAAUGGGUUUCUGUUAAUAUUAUUGGACAAUUUAAAAAUGUUUGUGUAAUCCGACGACCUUUUAUGCUGUGAAGACAAACUUCAAAAUUUUAAAGAAUUCUGUCACAGAAUCAGUGGACAGGUGUUGCAAUAACGCGUUUAAAAUAUGCAGUGUGUGUUUAUUUUGUGACUGAAUCGAUUUAAUAAUAUUUGCGAUUAACGUUUUAAAGUGAACAACUUGAGUAGAGACCAAAAUAUUGACAGCUUCGAUCCAGAUGCAAAUGGGAGGAGCAACGUGCAAGGAGAUGCUAUUUUUGGAUGAUGACUACGUCAUUGCAUGCGAGAUGGUACCUGAUCUGGUUGCAGUAUAAACUGGAGGUUUUCAUUUAUUUCGGAACUCUAGCAGACGUCAAUAAAACUGGUCACGCAAGAGAAAAGAAGACUUUCACGGAAGGCACCGCUGUCUGAAGGGAUUGGACAAUUCCCUAUUCAGUCGCGGCGUUGAUCAACCAGCCUGAACUAGACCCGGUGUUAUCGUCCCUUGCACUGUACCUGAUAUGGAGGUCUGUAGCCGAAGAGUGUGGGAGGCCCGUGGACCUGACCUGC